UAAUUUCUAGAAUCAAAGUGUAUUAUCAUUUUUUUAUUUUCUCAAAGUAUUUUUCUUUUCAAGCAAAAUAAAAGGUGUACUAAAAAAAAUGUAAAAAAAACAAACUAAAAUAUAUUAAAAUGGAUUAAACUAAAAUGUAUUAAAAUAAAAAACAAUUAGAAAUGACCAAAUUAAUUAAAAAAGAAAACCAAAGUGGGGUGUAAGGGCCAGCAAGGGCGUGAAGCAAGUAGUGUGGGCUUGGAUCAGAAAGCCCAAGGCGUCUUUAUCAAUGUAUCAAUUCAUAGGGUGUGUGUGAAGCUAUUCUAGGGUGCACACAACAAAAGUAAUGGGCCAAGAGCUUUGAGCCCACAAUACAUGAAACCAAUAUGGAAGAAGGGGAUCAGAUGAACAUUUUAUGUUUCUCAUCCAUUUCACGUUCAUGAGCCUUAACCUCACAUGAGCCAAAACCUCGUCGCGUAGGAAAUCGCCUCUGGCGGUGUAGGUCCAAUCACCUUCAAACCUAUCUCAUUCUACUCGUUCAUACUCCCUCUCUCACAGUCCCAUGCUAAUUUUCUUCAAUUCCUAACUGUGAUUCCAAAUUGAACAGAAACCCUUAUGAACCCUAAAAAUGAAAUAAAAAAUUAAAUGGCGAAGGCGAGCUAAACGGAGUCCAAAACUUAGAGUUUUGGCUCCUUAGGGAGUAAGCUCUAUCUCAGCAAUUGUUUUAGCGUGAAUCAUAGAAGGAAUGAGGGAGAGCUUACCUGGCGAAGCAACUCUGACAGUUCUUCAAGUGUGGGUGUUGAGAACAAGAGGUCCAUAGGUCUUCUUCCUCUUUAAGUGAUUCUUCAUUAUGUUUUUUGGAUUUAUGUGUGAAAUUCUUCUCUUUUUCUACUCUUAGUCCAUAGGAGUUGCUUCCUUUUGCUUUGUGUUGUUGUGGUUGCCCUAUUCUUAAGAGAAAGUAGAGUAUGGAGAGGUUGAAGAGAAUUCAGGGAGAAUUCUCAGAGAAUGGGAGAGCGUUUAGAGAGUGGAUUGAGAGUAAUCUUGCAGAGAUAGAAUUGAGAGUAGUAAAGCGUGGUGAUUGUGAUCUCUUCUUUGAUUGUUUGAAGAGAUGAAUUGAUUUAUAAGAGUUUGGAUGUAACUAACUUGGGCAAGUUCGGGAAAUUCUAUUAACAUGGUCAGGGCAGGGUUAAGUUAAAGUUCAAGGAGGAGGAAAGUUAGUUAGGAAUUUAAUUCUGUUAAAAUUAUGUUAGGAACUGUUAAUUGAAAUUAGUUAGUGACUUUGAGUUGCAGUUAGUUAUCUCAAUUUGAAUUUUAGUUGAAUUUGAAUGUUAGUAUGAGUAUUGGUGAUGCGUUAAUUAUUAUUUAUGGAUGGAAGGUUGUUAUCUCUAUUGUUAAUUCCUUAUGUAAUUAACAAGAAGAAAACUAGUGAACUAAAGGGAUUAGUUAGAUUUUGUUGCUCUAAACUAUUGAUGUUAAACUGUUAGUAUGAAUUAGCUCGUAAAUAUUUGAGUGAUGAUGUUAGUAUGUGUUGCACUAACAGUUAGUGAAUGGGAAAUGUUAGCUAGGGAAACUUGAAUUAGGUUUAGUUAGUUAUGAAUCAGUCAGUGAAUUGCAGUUGGUUAGUAAGUUAGUUGUGUUGGAAAAUUGGAAGUUAGUGUAAUAUUGAAGUUAGUUAGUUAGAUUAUGGAAUGGUGAAGAAGGUUAGUUAGUGAGAAUGGAACUGCGAACUAGGUUAGUUAGUUACAACUUUCACUUUCAGUUAGAUGUUGAACUGUUAUUGAAUUAGUGUUAUAAUGAAUUGAUCAUGUUAAAAGAAUGGAAUUAUUAUGCUAAACUAGUUUUGAAAUCUUUGGAUGCAUUGUUUUAUAAGGUCUUGGUUUUUCUCAUUGCGAUGUGGUUUUGCAUGAUUAUUGAGGUCAAGACUUGACAUUUGUUAGUGGGGCAUGGAACAUAACAUUCAUGUCUCAAGGUUCUUUCGUGGGAUACUCAGAAGCUUUAAAGUAACACAAAGAUAUAUGAUGACUUGUAAAUGAAGAAAGAUGUGCUUAGUAUUUAUAAGUAGUGGUUGACUUUGGUAAACUGUUUGACUAAAAAGUCAAUGAUGACAGUUCGUCAUUGCAUAUAUUUAGUCGAAGAAUUAUAGCAAAUAUGAAGAAGAAUUACCCAGGAGUGAGGGGAAAAUUCUAAGUGUGCAAAUUGUGGACUUAGUGAAAAUUUAAGUGAAAAAGGAGCAAAAGCGCCCAACCACUGGAAUAAUUACGUGCAACAUCGCGCACACAAUAAGGCAUUUAAAGUUGCAUCACACGCGCGAUGAUCACUUUUAUUGGCUUUUUCUGACACGUUCUGGUCCAUUCCAACACCAUUAAAAGAUGAUUUUCUGCACUUUCACAAGAGUUUUGAUUUUGGGAGAUUGAAGCACGAUUUUGAGAGCAAAAAUGGUGAUUUUUAGAGCAUUUUAAGCCAUUGGAGACCAUCACUUUAAGGGACUUCUUAUGUUAUUUUCUUCUAUCAAUUGUGGUAUUGUUAAUUGCAAUAUGAGUAGCUAAGCUCCUCUAAGUUAGGUUGUGUUAUGAUGAACUUAUUUCUAUAUUGUUGGAUUCUAUGUUGAUUUGACCAUUAUAUGAACCUAUUGGUCUAUAAUCUUAUUAAGUUGCUUCUUGUUCAUAAUGUUUUUUAUGUGAGAUACUAUUUUAAUAUAAUUUUGGGCACAUAGGGAAUACUGACCAUUAGUCUAUGUGUUGGACCUAAGGUAAUUAUUGUACUUACGCUGGUUGAAUAGGGAUAUGUGACCCCGAGUAGCGGCAUAGAGAAUUAACAUUCUAUACAUCGCUUAACCCUGCUUACGCUAGUGGACUAGGGAUAGAAAGCUCUGAGUAGUGGUUAGUGAGUUAUUUCGUGAGGGAUCGACUAUAACGAUUUUGUUAAUUCGCUGUGUGAUUAUAGUGACUAGACCAUUCAUACAGGGCAUCAAACAUCAACAAUAUAGGAAUAUGGGAUUCUAGAGCACAACCCGACUGCUUUCGUGAUAUUGUUUACUUGUUUAUUUACUUUUCACACUAAAAGUCGAAACCCCCUACUAGUUUUUAUACAUUGCACACAAUUUGUCUUGCUUGGAGGCAGUCCUUGUGGAUUUGGUUUUUUUAUUACUUCAUCAUUAUCAAUACACUUGUGUCAUACCCUUAAAUUUACCCCACCCCCUCAUCACCUUCUUGAACCCUAAUGCAUUAUCAUACAUCCCAUACAUGUUAUCUCAUAUGCAUUUAUACUUAAUGAUCCAAUUAACCACAAACUCAAGGCAUGAGAUUCAUCUGUGAAACUUCA
rnacentral:lncRNA from 1 species